GCCUCUGUCUCUCCUGCCUUCCCCACUGAAUCUCCAGCCCACAUUCACAAACAAAGACAAACCUGUGUAAACUGAAGCACCACAAAACUACUUUUAUGAAAGCAGAAUGGAAGCAGAUUUCACCUGCAUUUCCUACAUUCAACUGAAUCCUUUAAAUUGACUGAGGCACAUCCUGUACCAAGGAGAGACCUUUGUUACUGCCUUUGAUCCUGAGACCUUCUGAGCCAGGAAAAAAAAUAAGAUACAGAAUAUAAAGAGACAGCAUAAAUGAUAGAAAACAAAAUAAGCAUGUUCAUGAGCCAGAAAUCAAGAAGAAAAGGCAAUGAUAAAAAGGGCUGAAGCCGGAGGCAUCCCAGGCCCUGGGUCUGGAAGCAGGCCUCCUUGGUAUAACCACGCAUUUACGGAAGAUGACGUUACCAGCAGCCCUGGGGUAAGUCUCAGUCAUCCGAAGCCAGUCUUGGUAAUCCCAGCAGACUAGCAAGGGAACACAACCUAGUUCUGUCAAGUGGAAAGUGAAGAGAGCUGUGCUGGGAGGCUUCUCAGAAAAGGUUUCUUUUGGCAAAAGAAAGAGAGGGGGGAACAGUUCUUUUUCUUCUGCCGGACAAGGUCAUGUGUGUACGUAAGAACUGGAAGUUCUCAUGCCCAC
rnacentral:lncRNA from 10 species